rnacentral:rRNA from 1 species
UACGGGGGGGGGCAAGCGUUGUUCGGAAUUACUGGGCGUAAAGGGCUCGUAGGCGGCCAACUAAGUCAGACGUGAAAUCCCUCGGCUUAACCGGGGAACUGCGUCUGAUACUGGAUGGCUAGAGGUUGGGAGAGGGAUGCGGAAUUCCAGGUGUAGCGGUGAAAUGCGUAGAUAUCUGGAGGAACACCGGUGGCGAAGGCGGCAUCCUGGACCAAUUCUGACGCUGAUGAGCGAAAGCCAGGGGAGCAAACGGG